CCUAGGCUGGCUCUAGGACAGGCCUCUUUAAGGUCAGUUAGAAGUUAACUUUUACCUCUUCCUUCGUAACCUAGGACUCUGGGUGAGACGGUCCCAUUCGCUGGCUAGAAGAAUGAGGUUCCUGUUAGUACCCAGAAAAUACCCUAGAGGGAGACGGAACCCAUGGAAACAGCACAGAGGUCACCAUGUUUUAAGCUCCUGUCCUUGGCAACACAGUUAAAAAGUGAAUCUCCAUAAUCCAACCAUUCCUUACAAGAGAAGGGGCCACCUAUCACAGAUACUGAAUGUUGGAUCAUGGGAUACCAAGUGACUGUGACAGCCAUGCUGCUUGUGCUGUUCAUGGUAGCGCAUUCGCCCAGCCAUAGAGUCAGGUGUGUCCAGCAUUACUACGAAGGUGAGUGUAGGUUUAGAAAUGUAAAACUGACUCAAGAGAAGAAAAGUUCUGAAGAAGUAGCAUGUCACCCCCCUGUUCCUGGGAAGAUGAAAAGGUGAAGAUCCCCAGAAGCCUACACCUGAACACACUUGUGACCCUAAGGGUAGGUAUGAAAGGCAUUAAAAACCCUUUAUUGGUGAGGGAGAGAAAAUCUUCAUCCCAAGAAGGAGAUCACAGAGUAGUCAUGAAGGUUAUACCAAAGAAAAUACUUAGGAGACAGAGAUGUCAUAAAUGUGAUGAACGUGGAAAGUUCUUCACUAAGACUUCAAAUUUUAUUUGACAUGAAGUAAUUCGUACUAGGGAGAGACCCUAUAAAUUUGAAGUUUGUGGGAAAGCCUUCAGUGGGAGCGCCAAACUUUGUCUCCAUCAGAAGAUCCACACUGGGGAGAAACCUUAUAAAUGUGAUGAGUGUGGGAGAGUCUUCACCGUGAGCUCCAAUCUGACCCUGCAUUAUAGAGUCCCUAUCCUAGUCAGACUGUAUGAAUGUGAUCAGUAUGGUCUGACCUUCAGCUAGAGCUCAGAUCUUAGUAAGCAUCAGAGACUUCAUACUGGAGAAAACCCGUAUGAAUAUAAUGUGUGCAACAAGUCCUUCAGUUAAACUUCUGACCUUAAACACCAGAGGGUACACACAAGAGAAAAAUCCUACAAAUAUCGUAUGUGGGGAAAGCUUCUAAUCAGAGUCCACACUUCUUUUUUUUCCCCAUCUUUUGCUUCAGAGUCUGCACUUUAUUAAGCAUCUGAGAAUACACGCUGAAGAGAAACCCUAUCACUGUAAAGAAUAUGAUAAAAGUCAGAAUGCAGGUCUGACAUCACAUCAAAGGCUGCACACAAGAGAGAGACCUUAUAGGUGUAAGGAGUUUGGGAAAGCCUUCAGUGAGAACUCACACCUCCUUAAACAUCCCAGAAUUCAGACGGGGGCAGGGAGGGGCGACUUUAUCAGUGUGCUAAAUGUGGGAAAUGCUUUACUGAGAGCAAAGGUUUUAUUUCACAUCAGAAAAUCCACAUUGGAGAGAGACCUUGUAAUUAUGAUGAAUGUGGGGAAGCUUUCCACAACAGCACAAACCUUUUUAGACAUUAAAAAAGAAAAACAUAUCAGAGAGGGAAAAAGACAUAACUGAUGAAUGUGUGUAAAACUUUAGAUUUCCCUUGUAAUUGACCUUUAGAGAUGUUCAGAGGAAAUACCAUGAAUAUAAUUGUGAAAUGUUUCAAUGAUAGCUUCUUACCUCACUCUAGAGUAUUCUUUUCAACACCACCAAGCAAUUAACUCAGUCCUGACACUAUUUACCUGGUGAUAGUGUCAGAUCCAACAGGUUAGAGACUCAGUCCCACAAGACUGCACCCCUCCCUAUCCCCCACUUCAGACACCAAUCUGAGGUUGUUACCUGUGCUUCUGACCAACCGGCUAUGGAUCGGAGAUUCCCAUGACCCUCUCCCGGGGUUCAAUUCAUUUGCUAGAGCAGCUCACAGACCUCAGAGGAACAUUUACUUGCAUUUACCCCUUUAUUAUAAAGGAUAUUGUGAAGGAUGCAAAUGAAUAGCCAGAUGAAGAGGUAGAUAGAGGUGAGGUCCAGAAGUGUCCUGAACGCCGGAGCUUCUGUUUCCGUGGAACUGGGGUGCACCACCCUUCAGGCAUGUGGAUGCUUCACCAACCUGGAAACUCAUGAAAUCUUGUUCGAGAGUUUUCACAGGGCCAGCCCAGGGGCCCAGCAGUUAAGUUUGCACAUUCUGCUUUGGCAGCCCGGGGUUUGCCGGUUCAGAUUCCAGGUGUGGACCUAUGCACUGCUUGUCAAGCCAUGCUGUGGCAGGGA